rnacentral:rRNA from 1 species
CCUACGGGAGGCUGCAGUGAGGAAUAUUGGUCAAUGGGCGUAAGCCUGAACCAGCCAAGUCGCGUGAGGGAUGAAGGUUCUAUGGAUCGUAAACCUCUUUUAUAAGGGAAUAAAGUGUGGGACGUGUCCUGUUUUGUAUGUACCUUAUGAAUAAGGAUCGGCUAACUCCGUGCCAGCAGCCGCGGUAAUACGGAGGAUCCGAGCGUUAUCCGGAUUUAUUGGGUUUAAAGGGUGCGUAGGCGGCCUUUUAAGUCAGCUGUGAAAGUUUGUGGCUCAACCAUAAAAUUGCCGUUGAAACUGGGAGGCUUGAGUAUGUUUGAGGUAGGCGGAAUUCGUGGUGUAGCGGUGAAAUGCUUAGAUAUCACGCAGAACCCCGAUUGCGAAGGCAGCUUGCCAAGCUAUGACUGACGCUGAGGCACGAAAGCGUGGGGAUCAAACAGGAUUAGAUACCCGUGUAGUC